ensembl:snRNA U4 U4 spliceosomal RNA
AGCUUUGCACAGUGGCAGUAUCAUGGCCAGUGAGGUUUAUCUGAGACACGAUUAUUGCUAAUUGAAAAAUUGGUAGCUAAUUUUAAAGAACCUGUAAAUUCUCUGAAAGAG